UUUAUAAUAUAUUAAUUUACAUGUGAUAAGAUAUGGUACUGGAUGUGUAAAGAUAUAUUGACCAUAAUAUAUUUACAAAUGCCAUAUAUAAACACAUAUACAUAUAAAUUUCUUUACAAUAUACAUGUUAAAUAUUUUAAAACGUAGCUAGUUUACAAUAGCAUAAGCACACCUACUCAAACUAAAGCACUUAGUGAACUAACACUCACUGAACUGAAGAGCACACAGUCUUUACUUUUUAAAUAAAGAAGUAUAUAAACUUCUUGAUAUUCUACACAGUCACACUUAUAUGGGAACAUCUAUCAGCAAUAUAUACCCAAAUCUAAUGAAUCUUAGAUUUAUUUCUGUCUUGGUUUCAAAAUAAAUAUAUAUGUUCAAUAUUUAGCCAUACAUUGUCAAUGCAUAUACUGCUGCAUAUUGAAAAAUAUUAGCACCAGCUUCCAAUAUAUGGAAAUGUACUUUGUAAUAUAUCGCAUUACAUUUUGCAGUGUAUUCCCAUAUAUUUUUGUUCCAUUUUAUCAUCUAAGUGUGUGUGAUCUCAAGCAGGAACUAAAAGUGUAAAUCCCUGACCCCAGGUGGCCAAAAAAGUCAGGUGUUUGUUUUCUAGUAUCAUGUCAAAUGAAUACCGUUAAAUAAGCCACUUAUUCAUAUGUAUGCAUAUUUUCUAACUUAUGUUCUAUAAAAGAGUAAGUAGCGUAUGAUUUUUAAGGUCCUACUUUGGAUUAUGGAGUGUCCAACAACAUGUUUAUGUACAUAGAAGGUGUAAAAACACUAUUAUGUCAUAAGAACUUGUUAUAGCGUUCAUCAUGUGUCGCAAAUGGAACGCCUACCAUCAAUGCUGGAUAAGGAUUUAGAGGUUAUAUAUACAGUGUAUAGAUACAGAUGGAGGGGAUUUCACUUUACUAGUUUGAGCCCGAGUCUGUGGAAGAAACAUCCGAAGACGAUAGUAGAUUAUAGAUAGACGAUAAUAGAUUGAACACUUAAAUUAGCCGGUUUCAUAGAUAAAUAAACUGUAAUACCCCAGAAUUAACGGUACAUGUUAACAUAUUCGUUAUAAGCAUUAGCUAAACACAGACAUAAGGUACACAAAUAUUUCUUGAAGUUCAGACCAAAAAAACAGUCACACUUACAGGUUGUGAUUCGGUGGAGCUAACAGGUCCAAAUAAGAUUGGUAUUUCCCCUCUUUCAAGGAAAGUCUUUUAACAUAUCCUGCAUUGAAAAUGAAUUGUAGCCAUUGUUUCCUCAGAAUUUCUUCCUUUGGUAGUUUAAAUAAGACGCACUUAGUUUCACAACCUAGAGCACAUGUUCUAUGGAAUAAAAUCACUUUCAAAAAUAAUCGUACGUAAUUCAAAACAUUUGUGUGUAAUUUUAAUAUAAUGAAAGUGAAAGUGACUAAUUUGUCAGUUAUGGUGACCCAUAUCCGAGAUAUACCUCUGCUUUUAACCCAUCCAGAGAGUAGUGAACACACGCACAGCAAGUGGUGAACACACAUACACCCAGAGCAGUGGGCAGCUAUUGCUGCAGCGCCCGGGGAGCAAGUAGGGGUUAGGUGCCUUGCUCAAGGGAACCUCAAUCGUUACCCGCCUGACCUGAGGAUUGAACCGGCAACCUUCUGGUCACGAGUCCAACCCUCUAACCAUUAGGCCACGACUGCCUAAUCGUGCGUAAUUUAAAACUAUUGUACGUAAUUCUGUUUUUUGUCAAAGUUGGAUUCCAAAAUCUACUGCCACGACAGUUUACAGAUACGCGAUUUUGUGUGUUUUUUAGAGUACAACUCUAAAAUGUACGACUGUGACAGUUUACAGACGGCGCUUGUUUUCACAAUAGCUCUGUUACACACACGACAUGCGAAAUUACGACCACGAAGUGCGGUGUGCGAAACGGCUGUCAAAAAUACGUCAUCAAGGUCACAGGCAUUACUAUCCGAGGGAAGAUGAAUCGAUUCAACAAAGUGCGCAUGCGCCCCACCAAAGUUUAAACCACUGGCGCCAAAAUGGCGGAUCAGCAGCCAAGCGCUCACACCUCGUCUCAGGUAAGUUAAUUAUUAUUUUUUAAUCUGACAUGUUUAAGCAGUGGUCAUCAAACUUGUUCCUGGCGGUCAUGAGGUCGGAGCUAAACUCUGAAGGACACGGGCCCUCCAGGACCGAACUUGACGACCCUUGUGUUUAAGGGUUAACGUUAGUUAUAACUAAUAACAGAGAGUAGCAAUAUUACAGAGACAGUAUAGUAGGUAAGAUAAGCUCUCAGAGUACAUGUAACGUUAGGUGCUUAAAGAAGACAGUUGUUUAGGAGGUCAUCACUGCAGCCUGUACAAGAGGUAUACGAUAUAAAUACUGUUCGUUUUCUCACACAAACUGCUUGUUUCGUGUCUUAGGCCAUCAAUGUGUCCUUACGAUGGGGAAUUGUUUAAUUUGGACUUCACUGUGCAUGCUCUUUGAGAUUGUGACCAUAGACCUGCAUUAUACGACUGACAGACAAGAACGGUUUGACCUAAAAAUAUCAAAAUUGAAACUACUGCUGGAAAAAAGACACCUACAUCUUGGAUGCCCUUGAGGUGGAUGCAGGCUUCAUUCUGGAGAAUUGCCAACCUGUCUUUAGUGACAAAGGUUCUGUGAAAUACACCAAAGAAGUAAAUGUAAUGAACUUUUUGCAGGAUUUCCUACAGGAAGUUGAGGAUCGUGACGGUGAAGCUGAACAAAUGACUGCAGGUAAAGUUAUGCAGUGGAUGACAGGCCAGAGACAUAAGCCUAUUCUCCCCAGUGACCAGAAGGAUUUCAGCAUCACUGUGGAGUUCAAUCACGACUGUGACACAAAACCAAGUGUGUGUUUUCCAACUGUAAGCGCAUGUACUCGCACGAUUACGUUUCCUACAGCUCACCUGAAAACACUGGAUGAAUUUAAAAACAUAAUGGAAAUAGCUAUGAAAUAUGGGGAGUCAUUUGACAAUGUUUAAAUGUAUUUGGUGGUGAAAGCAUGUUGAAACAGCAACUUUAAGCUUC